rnacentral:rRNA from 1 species
UACGUAGGGUGCAAGCGUUGUCCGGAAUUAUUGGGCGUAAAGAGCUCGUAGGCGGUUUGUCGCGUCGAAUGUGAAAACCCGGGGCUCAACCCCGGGCCUGCAUUCGAUAGCGGGCAGACGUAGAUGGUUCGGUGGAGGGGAGUCGUGGAAAUUCCUGGUGUAGCGGGUGAAAUGCGCAGAUAUCAGGAGGAACACCGGUAGCGAAGGCGGGACUCUGGGCCGAUACUGACGCUGAGGAGCGAAAGCGUGGGGAGCAAACAGG